GAUGAACGCUAGCGGUGUGCUUAAAGCAUGCAAGUCGAACGUGAUCCUUGGAUUCGUUCAAGGUGAAAGUGGCGAACGGGUGAGUAACGCGUUGGUGAUCUGCCCCGGAGUGGGGAAUAACUAUCGGAAACGAUAGCUAAUACCCCAGAUGUCUUCGUGUUUGGAAAGCGAUGACUAAAGUUCAGGCGCUCCGGGAGGAGCCUGCGUCCCAUCAGCUAGUUGGUAGGGUAAUGGCCUACCAAGGCACAGACGGGUAGGGGGCGUGAGAGCGUGGCCCCCCACACUGGUACUGACACACGGACCAGAUGCCUACGGGUAGCAGCAGCUAGGAAUAUUGGGCAAUGGGCGAAAGCCUGACCCAGCAACACCGCGUGAAGGACGACGGCCUUCGGGUUGUAAACUUCUUUUCGAGGGAAUGAGAAAGGACAGUACCCUCGGAAUAAGGCCGGCUAACUACGUG
rnacentral:rRNA from 1 species